AUGGUUGACGCGAGUCAAAGUGUAGUAUCUGUUCUUAUUAGCUUAAUAAUAUAUGUUACGGGUUGUAUUUGGACCCAAGAUAUUAAACUUUCAUUCGCAAGUUUGCGGAGUGCUUGAAGAUUGUUUCUCCUCCGCCGCUGGUCGGCCCGGUAUUGCACGAUCGUCGGGAUUUUUGGUUUACGGACA
rnacentral:snRNA from 1 species